CCUACGGGAGGCAGCAGUGGGGAAUAUUGGGCAAUGGGCGCAAGCCUGACCCAGCAACGCCGCGUGAAGGAAGAAGGCUUUCGGGUUGUAAACUUCUUUUGUCAGGGACGAAGCAAGUGACGGUACCUGACGAAUAAGCCACGGCUAACUACGUGCCAGCAGCCGCGGUAAUACGUAGGUGGCAAGCGUUAUCCGGAUUUACUGGGUGUAAAGGGCGUGUAGGCGGGACUGCAAGUCAGAUGUGAAAACCACGGGCUCAACCUGUGGCCUGCAUUUGAAACUGUAGUUAUUGAGUACUGGAUCGUCAGACGGAAUUCCUAGUGCAGCGGUGAAAUGCGUAGCUAUUAGGAGGAACACCAGUGGCGAAGGCGGUCUGCUGGACAGCAACUGACGCUGAGGCGCGAAAGCGUGGGGAGCAAACAGGAUUAGAUACCCGGGUAGUC
rnacentral:rRNA from 1 species